AUUGAACGCUGGCGGCAUGCCUAACACAUGCAAGUCGAACGGCAGCACGGGUAAGUUUACUUACUGGGUGGCGAGUGGCGGACGGGUGAGUAACGCGUAGGAAUAUGCCCUAGAGAGUGGGAUAGCAUGGGGAAACUCAGGGUAAUACCGCAUAUAUUCAACGGAUGAAAGGCUGGGGACCUUAUGGCCUGGCGCUUUAGGAGUAGCCGGCGUGUGAUUAGCUAGUUGGUGUGGUAAAGGGGCACCAAGGCGACGAUCGGUAGCUGGUCUGAGAGGAGGAACAGCCACACUGGGACUGAGACACGGCCAAGACUCCUACGAGAGGCAGCAGUGGGGGAUAUUGGACAAUGGGGGCAACCCUGAUCCAGCGAUGCCGCGUGUGUGAAGAAGGCCUGCGGGUUGUAAAGCACUUUCAGUGGGGAGGAGGGUAAGAGAGUUAAAAGCUAGAUUUACUGGACGUUACCCACAGAAGAAGCACCGGCAAACUCCGUGCCAGCAGCCGCCGUAA
rnacentral:rRNA from 1 species